rnacentral:rRNA from 1 species
UACAGAGGGUGCGAGCGUUGUCCGGAAUCACUGGGCGUAAAGGGCGCGUAGGCGGCUUGAUAAGGUUGCGGUGAAAGCGCGGGGCUCAACCCUGCGUCGGCCAUGAAUACUGCCGCGGCUGGAGCACUGUAGAGGCAGGCGGAAUUCCGGGUGUAGCGGUGGAAUGCGUAGAGAUCCGGAAGAACACCGGUGGCGAAGGCGGCCUGCUGGGCAGUUGCUGACACUGAGGCGCGACAGCGUGGGGAGCAAACAGG